rnacentral:rRNA from 1 species
AACAGAGGUGCCGAGCGUUAGGCGGAAUCACUGGGCUUAAAGCGCGUGUAGGCGGGUCGUUAAGUGUCCGAGUGAAAUCCCACGGCUCAACCGUGGAACUGCCGGGCAUACUGGCGAUCUUGAGGCAUUCAGGGGCGAGCGGAACAAAUGGUGGAGCGGUGAAAUGCGUAGAUAUCAUUUGGAACGCCAAUGGUGAAAACAGCUCGCUGGGAAUGAUCUGACGCUGAGACGCGAAAGCCAGGGGAGCGAACGGG